rfam:Desulfobacterales bacterium C00003106 5579_contig_72038, whole genome shotgun sequence.
GGGCCGUUAGCUCAACCAGGCAGAGCACCUGACUCUUAAUCAGUAGGUUGAAGGUUCGAUUCCUUCACGGCCCA